CGCCUGUUUAACAAAAACAUGUCCUUUCGUUUUUUUUGGAAGGUCUGGCCUGCCCUGUGAAAUUAUAUUUAACGGCCGCGGUAUAUUGACCGUGCAAAGGUAGCAUAAUCAUUAGUCUUUUAAUAGGAGGCUGGUAUGAAAGGUUUAACGAAACAUGAACUGUCUUAUUUAUAAAUUUAUAAUUUAACUUUUAAGUUAAAAGGCUUAAAUAUCUUUGGAGGACGAGAAGACCCUAUAGAGCUUUACAUUAUUUUAUUUUUAAUAUUUCCUUGUUUAAUAAUUUAAUAUUAAAAUUAAUAUUGUUUUGUUGGGGUGACAAGAAAUAUAUAUUUAACUUUUAUUAUUUAAUUUACAUUAAUUUAUGAUUUAUUGGAUCCAAUAUUAUUGAUCAUUAGAUUAAGUUACCUUAGGGAUAACAGCG
rnacentral:rRNA from 1 species